UGUGCCUUCGACCGCGUCGGUGCCCGCAAGGGCUUGAAAGGGAAUAUGGUGCGGCCGCCUGCGGCCCAAUCCAUGGCUGUCCCUGCAACUGUAAGCGGCGAGCCACCGGGCCAUCAUGCCAUUGGGAGCGGUCCCGAGAAGGCGGUCCGGCCGGCGACGACCCGCAAGCCAGGAGACCUGCCGGCGCGGGUCGCUCUUGC
rnacentral:ncRNA from 17 species